GAUGAACGCUGGCGGCGUGCCUAAUACAUGCAAGUCGAGCGAACAGACGAGGAGCUUGCUCCUCUGACGUUAGCGGCGGACGGGUGAGUAACACGUGGAUAACCUACCUAUAAGACUGGGAUAACUUCGGGAAACCGGAGCUAAUACCGGAUAAUAUAUUGAACCGCAUGGUUCAAUAGUGAAAGACGGUUUUGCUGUCACUUAUAGAUGGAUCCGCGCCGCAUUAGCUAGUUGGUAAGGUAACGGCUUACCAAGGCAACGAUGCGUAGCCGACCUGAGAGGGUGAUCGGCCACACUGGAACUGAGACACGGUCCAGACUCCUACGGGAGGCAGCAGUAGGGAAUCUUCCGCAAUGGGCGAAGGCCUGACGCAGCCACGCCGCGUGAGUGAUGAAGGUCUUCGGAUCGUAAAACUCUGUUAUUAGGGAAGAACAAAUGUGUAAGUAACUAUGCACGUCUUGACGGUACCUAAUCAGAAAGCCACGGCUAACUACGUG
rnacentral:rRNA from 1 species